rnacentral:rRNA from 1 species
AUAGAUACCCGGGUAGUCCACGCCGUAAACGGUGGGCACUAGGUGUGGGCGACAUUCCACGUCGUCCGUGCCGCAGCUAACGCAUUAAGUGCCCCGCCUGGGGAGUACGGCCGCAAGGCUAAAACUCAAAGGAAUUGACGGGGGCCCGCACAAGCGGCGGAGCAUGUGGCUUAAUUCGACGCAACGCGAAGAACCUUACCAAGGCUUGACAUACACCGGAAACGUCCAGAGAUGGGCGCCCCCUUGUGGUCGGUGUACAGGUGGUGCAUGGCUGUCGUCAGCUCGUGUCGUGAAAUGUUGGGUUAAGUCCCGCAACGAGCGCAACCCUUGUCCCGUGUUGCCAGCAGGCCCUUGUGGUGCUGGGGACUCACGGGAGACCGCCGGGGGUUCAACUCGGAGGAAGGUGGGGACGACGUCAAGUCAUCAUGCCCCUUAUGUCUUGGGCUGCACACGUGCUACAAUGGCCGGUACAAUGAGCUGCGAUACCGCGAGGUGGAGCGAAUCUCAAAAAGCCGGUCUCAGUUCGGAUUGGGGUCUGCAACUCCG